rnacentral:rRNA from 1 species
GAUGAACGCUGGCGGCGUGCCUAAUACAUGCAAGUCGAGCGAACAGACGAGGAGCUUGCUCCUCUGACGUUAGCGGCGGACGGGUGAGUAACACGUGGAUAACCUACCUAUAAGACUGGGAUAACUUCGGGAAACCGGAGCUAAUACCGGAUAAUAUAUUGAACCGCAUGGUUCAAUAGUGAAAGACGGUUUUGCUGUCACUUAUAGAUGAAUCCGCGCCGCAUUAGCUAGUUGGUAAGGUAACGGCUUACCAAGGCAACGAUGCGUAGCCGACCUGAGAGGGUGAUCGGCCACACUGGAACUGAGACACGGUCCAGACUCCUACGGGAGGCAGCAGUAGGGAAUCUUCCGCAAUGGGCGAAAGCUUGACGGAGCAACGCCGCGUGAGUGAUGAAGGUCUUCGGAUCGUAAAACUCUGUUAUUAGGGAAGAACAAAUGUGUAAGUAACUAUGCACGUCUUGACGGUACCUAAUCAGAAAGCCACGGCUAACUACGUG